UACGUAGGGUGCAAGCGUUGUCCGGAAUUAUUGGGCGUAAAGAGCUCGUAGGCGGUCUGUCGCGUCGGCCGUGAAAUCUCCACGCUUAACGUGGAGCGUGCGGUCGAUACGGGCAGACUUGAGUUCGGUAGGGGAGACUGGAAUUCCUGGUGUAGCGGUGAAAUGCGCAGAUAUCAGGAGGAACACCGGUGGCGAAGGCGGUCUGCUGGGCCGUUGCUGACGCUGAGGCGCGACAGCGUGGGGAGCAAACAGG
rnacentral:rRNA from 1 species